UGGGGAAUAUUGCACAAUGGGCGCAAGCCUGAUGCAGCCAUGCCGCGUGUGUGAAGAAGGCUUUUGGGUUGUAAAGCACUUUCAGCGGGGAGGAAGGCGUUAAGGUUAAUAACCUUGGCGACUGCCGUUACCCGCAGACCAAGCACCGGCUAACUCCGUGCCAGCAGCCGCGGUAAUACGGAGGGUGCAAGCGUUAAUCGGAAUUACUGGGCGUAAAGCGCACGCAGGCGGUCUUGAAAGUCGGAUGUGAAAUCCCCGGGCUCAACCUGGGAAGGGCAUUGGGAACUAGCAGGCUAGAGUCUUGUAGAGGGGGGUAGAAUUCCAGGUGUAGCGGUGAAAUGCGUAGAAAUCAGGAAGAAUACCGGUGGCGAAGGCGGCCCCCUGGACGAAGACUGACGCUCAGGUGCGAAAGCGUGGGGAGCAAACAGG
rnacentral:rRNA from 1 species